rnacentral:lncRNA from 1 species
GGAGAAGGAAACUUGGAUUUAUUGAGCACCUGUUCGCGCAGGGCAUGUCACAUACACACAUGAACUUGAUGCCAUUUAUUUCAGAGACAGAGCCCUGGAGAUACAAAUUUCCCAGCUCUGCUCAGUGCUCUGGCCAACUGCCCACCAUUAGGGAACACAAGUGGAUGGUCACCACAUCCACUUGUUUUAUAAUUAAUAUAAUUGAAACCAACAAGAGGAACUUGAAGGGGCCUUACCCACAGUUUAGAAGACAAAUCAACUCUCAAGGGCUGCCUCUUCAACAUGGGUUUUCCCAUCUUUGGCCAAGACAUAUGAUCCCACAAAGCCAUUGCCAACCACAGACAUUAUUUCAUUUCUGUGAGCUCGGAGCACUGAGAUGGCUGGAGUGCACCCUGAGGGCUGAUUCUGUGUUCUCCAAAUGCACGUCCCAUCGGGAGGUGGGAACAUUCCUCAUGGUUGCAAAUUCUUUCUCUUCCUGCUUCUUUUCCCUCUCUGGACAGCGGUAGUGUUUGUAUUAUUUCUCCCUGGGUGAUCUCUGGACAUGACUGACAAUGAAGCCCAUUGACUCAUUUUCCUAAAGUUUUUCUUUUGAAGAAAGAGGUAAAUUUGUCAAGUGUCUGGUCAGGGUUUUGUAGCACCAAGAGUUUCCUUAAAAUGGGCAGUUACACAUCAGACGGGGGCUGUCAGAAGAAUGAAGAAACGAUCUCCUGCCCCAUAAAUCAAGUUUUCCCAACUUCAAAGGAGUGGGAAAGAACUCACAAAGCAUCAGCAUAUGAAAUAAUAAUAAUAAUUAGCAACAAGAAUAAUAUUAAUAAUCAUCUGACCGACCGGCAGCAUCUGUUGGAUUUAAUAAUUUUGAGGUCUCUCAAGAAAAUAAAACAAAAAGCAAACAAUAAAAGAAAGAAAAAAAAGGAACACAUGGCUGAAGUCUUUCAAGACCUCUGGCUUCCCACUGGGCUCCGAGUUCAAGUUUCAGAAAUCCACUGCAGUCUUCCGGCUUUCCAGAGUCCUCUAGGGGCCCUUCACAUUACCUGGCCGGGCAGCAAGGCUGGCGAAGUAGGCACACUGGGAAGGGUCACACUGG